GUUUAUGUCGUAACUUCUGUGCCGUUGCGAGUUUUCUACUUACUACUUGCGUUGGUGAUAUUGAUUGUUUCCUUUUAUCAUGACUGCGGGCUUCCAUUUGCACCCUGAGAAUGAUGGUCUUUCCCAGGAAUAUGUUUCAUCACUCAAGUUGCUGCAUUUUUAUCAUGCUAAUGUUUCUAUCUAAGCCAAUAUUAUAAGAGUCGCAUUGACAAGAGCACUCACAACUAUGAUAUGUAUGAGACAUUACAACUGCGAUGUGUGUAGAUUGAGACUUUACAGAUGUGAUAUAUGUAGAAUUUAGUCCAAUUAUUGCUAGCUUUUUUUCCUGUAAAUGUCACGUGUGUGUUGAGACUACUGGUUGCACGAGCUUAGUCCAAUUGUUAGCAUUUCAUGGUUAGGCGGACCUAUAGGCAUAUAACUAGACCAUCACAACUACGGCUACGGUUCCCGUGACGUAAUUG
rnacentral:lncRNA from 1 species